UACGUAGGUGACAAGCGUUGUCCGGAUUUACUGGGCGUAAAGAGCGCGCAGGCGGUCGAUCAAGUCGAGUGUGAAAGCCCCCGGCUCAACUGGGGAGGGUCAUUCGAUACUGAUCGACUCGAAGGCAGGAGAGGGUAGUGGAAUUCCCGGUGUAGUGGUGAAAUUCGUAGAUAUUGGGAGGAACACCAGCGGCGAAGGCGGCGACCUGGUCAGAUACUGACGCUGAGGCGCGAAAGCGUGGGGAGCAAACAGG
rnacentral:rRNA from 1 species